rnacentral:tRNA from 1 species
UGGGUAGUCGCCAAGUGGUAAGGCAACGGGUUUUGGUUCCGUCAUCCGUAGGUUCGAAUCCUGCCUACCCAGCCA